rnacentral:lncRNA from 1 species
CUCUUCACUGCCCUGUGUCUUCUUUCCAAGGGUCUCGGUGAUUCGGCCACAGCCUCAGCCUCCAUCACGCGGUGAACUGAUGGUGCUGGAAGAUUCAUAGACUCCAGGACAUUCCUGAAGCCGAGAAAAGGUUAAGUAGGGUCUGGCCUGGAAUACUCUCCUAGAUGAAGAUAGCCCAACCAUGAGCCACCUUCGAAGCAGAUGAGAUGAAAUUAAAGCUCUUCAACUCCUAAAGGCCCAGAGACUAUCACAAAAGAGGUCAGAAAUCCUGAAGGUCACUUUCUGACAAACUCAGGAACCCCAGGUUUAUCUUGGAGCCUCAAGAGGAGAUAAAUUCACCCAACUCAGGCUGGAGUGCAGUGGAAUGAUCUUGGCUCACUUCCGUCUCCGCCUUCCAGUUUCAAGUGAUUCUCCUGCCUCAGCCUACUGAGUAGUUGGGAUUACAGGUGCCUGCCACCACACCCAGCUAAUUUUUGUAUUUUUAGUAAAGAUGGGGUUUCACCAUGUUGGCCAGGCUGGUCUCAAACUCCUGACGUCAUGAUCUGCCCGCUUCAGUCUCCCAAAGUGUGAUUACAGAGUUUUGCUCUUGGUGCCCAGGCUGGAGUGCAUUGGCACGAUCUCUGGCUCACUGUGACCUCUGCCUCCCAGAUUCAAGUGAUUCUCCUGCCUCAGCCUCCUGAGUAGCUGGGAUUACGGGCAUGUGCCCCCAUGCCUGGCUAAUUUUGAAUUUUUAGUAGAAACAGGGUUUCUCCAUGUUGGUCAGGCUGGUCUUGAACUGCCAACCUCAGGUGAUCUGCCCACUUUGGCCUCCCAAAGUGCUGGGAUUACAG